CGUGGGCUCUUCAGAUUAGCACAUGAGGGGGAAAAAAUAUCCAGAGUUUCCUUCUUCCAGUGAAGGAUGGGAUGUAUGAAUAAGUCUUCUAAGUACUCCAGAGAGUCAAGAACACAGCGAGAUGCACAAAAACAAGAAUGGGGUUCUCCAAGGGUCCUGAAAAGGAUGAUGUCAGAACAGAGAUG